rnacentral:rRNA from 1 species
GAUGAACGCUGGCGGCGUGCCUAAUACAUGCAAGUCGAGCGAACGGACGAGAAGCUUUCUUCUCUGAUGUUAGCGGCGGACGGGUGAGUAACACGUGGAUAACCUACCUAUAAGACUGGGAUAACUUCGGCAAACCGGAGCUAAUACCGGAUAAUAUUUUGAACCGCAUGGUUCAAAAGUGAAAGACGGUCUUUCUGUCACUUAUAGAUGGAUCCGCGCUGCAUUAGCGAGGUGGUAAGGUAACGGCUUACCAAGGCAACGAUGCAUAGCCGACCUGAGAGGGUGAUCGGCCACACUGGAACUGAGACACGGUCCAGACUCCUACGGGAGGCAGCAGUAGGGAAUCUUCCGCAAUGGGCGAAAGCCUGACGGAGCAACGCCGCGUGAGUGAUGAAGGUCUUCGGAUCGUAAAACUCUGUUAUUAGGGAAGAACAUAUGUGUAAGUAACUGUGCACAUAUUGACGGUACCUAAUCAGAAAGCCACGGCUAACUACGUG